CCAAUCUUUUUAGCGAGCCUUGGCUUUGCCCAUGGUCUUGCAAAAAACUACCCUGUAUUUAAAACCCGCUCAUAAAUUAUAAAUUAUAUAAAUUAGUUAUUAUGAUAAUAAAGA
rnacentral:misc_RNA from 1 species